AGACAGAGGUGGCAAGCGUUGUUCGGAUUUACUGGGCGUAAAGCGCGCGUAGGCGGUUGCAUGUGUCAGAUGUGAAAUCCCAAGGCUUAACCUUGGAAUGGCAUUUGAAACUAUGCAACUUGAGGACAGGAGGGGGAAGCGGAAUUCCCGGUGUAGCGGUGAAAUGCGUAGAUAUCGGGAAGAACACCGGUGGCGAAGGCGGCUUCCUGGACUGUCCCUGACGUUGAGGCGCGAAAGCGUGGGUAGCAAACAGGAUUAGAUACCCCGGUAGUCC
rnacentral:rRNA from 1 species